UACGUAGGGUGCAAGCGUUAAUCGGAAUUACUGGGCGUAAAGCGUGCGCAGGCGGUUUUGUAAGUCUGACGUGAAAGCCCCGGGCUUAACCUGGGAAUUGCGUUGGAGACUGCAAGGCUUGAAUCUGGCAGAGGGGGGUAGAAUUCCACGUGUAGCAGUGAAAUGCGUAGAGAUGUGGAGGAACACCGAUGGCGAAGGCAGCCCCUGGGUCAAGAUUGACGCUCAUGCACGAAAGCGUGGGGAGCAAACAGG
rnacentral:rRNA from 1 species